rnacentral:rRNA from 1 species
GAUGAACGCUGGCGGCGUGCUUAACACAUGCAAGUCGAACGAGAAGUGAAGACGGAAACCUUCGGGCGGAAGGCUUUAUUUCGAGUGGCGGACGGGUGAGUAACGCGUGGGUAACCUGCCUCAUACAGGGGGUUAACAGUUGGAAACGACUGUUAAUACCGCAUAAGACCACAGCACCGCAUGGUGCGGGGGUAAAAACUCCGGUGGUAUGAGAUGGACCCGCGUUCGAUUAGCCAGUUGGCGGGGUAACGGCCCACCAAAGCGACGAUCGAUAGCCGAUCUGAGAGGAUGACCGGCCACAUUGGGACUGAGACACGGCCCAAACUCCUACGGGAGGCAGCAGUGGGGAAUAUUGCACAAUGGGGGAAACCCUGAUGCAGCGACGCCGCGUGAGUGAAGAAGUAUUUCGGUAUGUAAAGCUCUAUCAGCAGGGAAGAAAAUGACGGUACCUGAGUAAGAAGCCCCGGCUAACUACGUG